UGACGGGGUCUGCGGGGUGGGGGUGAGGGGGGCUUACUGGUCUAGUCUGGUCUGUGCGGGAGCAAACCGGUUGUAAGGUACACCUGGCGCUUGCCUCCAGCUCGUGGCGUCUCUGCGUGCAGCCCCUGCGAGCUGGGCAGGGGCCUCAGAAUCCCUAUCUGUCUCGGACGGAGUGGUGUGCUGGAGCCUGAGCUCCCGCAGCAGCUUCCAGAACCAUCGAGCAACACGCUGGGCAGUGCCGUGAUCACAUGGGCGGUGGCUACCUGAGCCACGGAGACGGGUCAGCCCUGCCAGCCAGGGCUCUUCCCCUUCGACAAGGAUGGACAUUAUCUGAUAAGUUAUUGAGAUAACUCCAUUGGAGGACUGGCCUCUUGCUGCCUGUUCCCACUGCCCUCGUCUGCUGUGGUGUGACUGUGUCAGGUCAUUCCCUCUGGUCUCCUGGUUUCUGGUCUUCCAUGAUCCUGCCAGACAGGUAUUUAUGACUACAUAGCUCUUCCGUUUAAAAUCCCUCAAGGACAUAGUCUCUUCAGGGAUUCUGUGGCAUUUUGUAUCCCUCUAUUUUAGCCAUU